rnacentral:rRNA from 1 species
UACGUAGGGGGCAAGCGUUGUCCGGAAUCAUUGGGCGUAAAGAGCGUGUAGGCGGCCCGAUAAGUCCGCUGUGAAAGUCCAGGGCUCAACCCUGGGAUGCCGGUGGAUACUGUCGGGCUCGAAUCCGGAAGAGGUGAGUGGAAUUCCUGGUGUAGCGGUGAAAUGCGCAGAUAUCAGGAGGAACACCGAUGGCGAAGGCAGAUCUCUGGGCCGUAACUGACGCUGAGGAGCGAAAGCGUGGGGAGCGAACAGG